rnacentral:rRNA from 1 species
GACGAACCGUGCGAACGUUGUUCGGAAUCACUGGGCUUAAAGGGCGCGUAGGCGGGCUGUCAAGUCCGGGGUGAAAUCCUUCGGCUCAACCGGAGAAUUGCCUCGGAUACUGGCAGUCUUGAGGGAGGUAGGGGCACGCGGAACUUCCGGUGGAGCGGUGAAAUGCGUUGAUAUCGGAAGGAACGCCGGUGGCGAAAGCGGCGUGCUGGCCCUCUUCUGACGCUGAGGCGCGAAAGCCAGGGGAGCGAACGGG